CCUACGGGAGGCAGCAGUGGGGAAUAUUGCGCAAUGGGCGAAAGCCUGACGCAGCGACGCCGCGUGAGGGAUGAAGGUCUUCGGAUCGUAAACCUCUGUCAGCAGGGAAGAAAGGUCACGGGGCUAAGCAGCAGUGAAUAGACGGUACCUGCAAAGGAAGCACCGGCUAACGCAGUGCCAGCAGCCGCGGUAAUACGGAGGGGGCGAGCGUUAAUCGGAAUUACUGGGCGUAAAGCGCUCGUAGGCGGUAUGUCAAGUCAAGGGUGAAAUCCACGCGCUCAACGUGGGAACUGCCUUUGAAACUGGCAAACUGGAUUGUGUGAGAGGAUAGUGGACUUCCAGGUGUAGGCGU
rnacentral:rRNA from 1 species